ACCCAGGUGGCUCAGUUGGUAAAGUGCCUGACUUCAACUCAGGUCAUGAUCUCCUGGUUCGUGAGUUCAAGCCCCACUUUGGGUU
rnacentral:tRNA from 1 species